rnacentral:rRNA from 1 species
GAUGAACGCUGGCGGCGUGCUUAACACAUGCAAGUCGAACGGUGAAGCAGGAGCUUGCUCCUGUGGAUCAGUGGCGAACGGGUGAGUAACACGUGAGCAAUCUGCCCUGGACUCUGGGAUAAGCGUUGGAAACGACGUCUAAUACCGGAUACGAGGCGUGGGGGCAUCCCCAACGCCUGGAAAGAACUUCGGUCCAGGAUGAGCUCGCGGCCUAUCAGGUAGUGGGUGAGGUAACGGCUCACCAAGCCUACGACGGGUGGCCGGCCUCAGAGGGUGACCGGCCACACUGGGACUGAGACACGGCCCAGACUCCUACGGGAGGCAGCAGUGGGGAAUAUUGCACAAUGGGCGCAAGCCUGAUGCAGCAACGCCGCGUGAGGGACGACGGCCUUCGGGUUGUAAACCUCUUUUAGCAGGGAAGAAGCGAAAGUGACGGUACCUGCAGAAAAAGCACCGGCUAACUACGUGCCAGCCGCCGCCGUAAUAC